AAGUAUAACCAUAGAGGGUGAUAGUCCCGUAUGCGAAAAACAAACCUUAGCUAGCAGUAUCCUGAGUAGGGCGGGACACGAGGAAUCCUGUCUGAAUCCGGGUCGACCACGAUCCAACCCUAAAUACUAAUACCAGAUCGAUAGUGCACAAGUACCGUGAGGGAAAGGUGAAAAGAACUGAGGUGAUCAGAGUGAAAUAGAACCUGAAACCAUUUGCUUACAAUCAUUCAGAGCCCUAUGUAGCAAUACAGGGUGAUGGACUGCCUUUUGCAUAAUGAGCCUGCGAGUUGUGGUGUCUGGCAAGGUUAAGCAAACGCGAAGCCGUAGCGAAAGCGAGUCUGAAUAGGGCGCUUAGUCAGAUGCUGCAGACCCGAAACGAAGUGAUCUAUCCAUGAGCAAGUUGAAGCUAGUGUAAGAACUAGUGGAGGACUGAACCCAUAGGCGUUGAAAAGCCCCGGGAUGACUUGUGGAUAGGGGUGAAAGGCCAAUCAAACUUCGUGAUAGCUGGUUCUCUCCGAAAUAUAUUUAGGUAUAGCGUUGUGUCGUAAUAUAAGGGGGUAGAGCACUGAAUGGGCUAGGGCAUACACCAAUGUACCAAACCCUAUCAAACUCCGAAUACCUUAUAUGUAAUCACAGCAGUCAGGCGGCGAGUGAUAAAAUCCGUCGUCAAGAGGGAAACAACCCAG
rnacentral:rRNA from 1 species